CCUACGGGAGGCAGCAGUGAGGAAUAUUGGUCAAUGGCCGUAAGGCUGAACCAGCCAAGUCGCGUGAAGGAAGAAGGAUCUAUGGUUUGUAAACUUCUUUUAUAGGGGAAUAAAGGUAUCCACGUGUGGAUAUUUGCAUGUACCCUAUGAAUAAGCAUCGGCUAACUCCGUGCCAGCAGCCGCGGUAAUACGGAGGAUGCGAGCGUUAUCCGGAUUUAUUGGGUUUAAAGGGUGCGUAGGUUGUUUUUUAAGUCAGCGGUGAAAGUUUGUGGCUCAACCAUAAAAUUGCCGUUGAAACUGGAAGACGUGAGUGUGUUUGAGGUAGGCGGAAUGCGUGGUGUAGCGGUGAAAUGCAUAGAUAUCACGCAGAACUCCGAUUGCGAAGGCAGCUUACUAGGCCAUAACUGACACUGAAGCACGAAAGCGUGGGGAUCAAACAGGAUUAGAUACCCCUGUAGUC
rnacentral:rRNA from 1 species